AUUGAACGCUGGCGGCAGGCCUAAGACAUGCAAGUCGAGCGAGAAAGCCCUUCGGGGUGAGUACAGCGGCGGACGGGUGAGUAACGCGUAGGAAUCUACCCAGUAGUGGGGGACAACUAGUGGAAACGCUAGCUAAUACCGCAUACGCCCUAAGGGGGAAAGCGGGGGAUCUUCGGACCUCGUGCUAUUGGAUGAGCCUGCGUAAGAUUAGCUUGUUGGUGGGGUAAUGGCUCACCAAGGCUACGAUCUUUAGCUGGUCUGAGAGGAUGAUCAGCCACACCGGGACUGAGACACGGCCCGGACUCCUACGGGAGGCAGCAGUCGGGAAUAUUGCGCAAUGGGGGAAACCCUGACGCAGCCAUGCCGCGUGUGUGAAGAAGGCCCUAGGGUUGUAAAGCACUUUCAAUUGGGAGGAAAAGCUAAUGGUUAAUAGCCAUUAGCCUUGACGUUACCUUUAGAAGAAGCACCGGCUAACUCCGUGCCAGCAGCCGCGGUAAUACGGAGGGUGCAAGCGUUAAUCGGAAUUACUGGGCGUAAAGCGCGCGUAGGCGGCUCUUUAAGUCGGAUGUGAAAGCCCCGGGCUCAACCUGGGAACUGCAUCCGAUACUGGAGGGCUAGAGUGUAGGAGAGGGAGGUAGAAUUCCAUGUGUAGCAGUGAAAUGCGUAGAUAUAUGGAGGAAUACCAGUGGCGAAGGCGGCCUCCUGGCUUAACACUGACGCUGAGGUGCGAAAGCGUGGGGAGCAAACGGGAUUAGAUACCCCGGUAGUCCACGCCGUAAACGAUGUCUACUAGCUGUAGGGGUACUUGAGACCUUUGUAGCGCAGCUAACGCACUAAGUAGACCGCCUGGGGAGUACGGCCGC
rnacentral:rRNA from 1 species